rnacentral:lncRNA from 1 species
AAGUGAUAAAGAUCCAGACUGAGUUGAAAAGAAUGAUAAAGACAGAGCUGAGAGGGCCACAGUUUUAGUGACAGCCUCAGCUGUGACAAAGGAGAGAAAACAGAAAGACCUGGGAAAGUGCAAGGAUGAAGCAAUUAAGUUUGAGAAAUGUGAUGUGAGGUUUAGGAAAGGUGGAUUUUAGCCCCAGCAGACUUUUAGCUGGACACGGACCUAAUACCUUGAGACUUCAUUGUUCCCAUUAAAGAAAAAAUUAUCUUCUGACUUUCUAGGGGUUUGGGGGUCCCAGAUAUCAAAAGAUUUAAACCACUUAGGAGGUUUCCAUUGGAAGGAGAAGACUGUCUUUAGCCCACUGCAUCCCCUCAAGCCAUCCCAAGCUUUCUCUGUGCCAGGGACUGGACGCACGCUAAAAUACGAACCUGUGUGGACUUCUUUCUUAGGAGCCUUUGCACCAGCACAAGAAAGAGACAGAGACAGUGAUGGCGAGACUCAAGCACGCAUAUCUUGAUGGACUCCAAAAUGCUCUUCCUAAUUCCUUCUCUGUGGCUCAUUCUUCAUCCUCUAUUUGCAUUGGUUCUCUUGGCAUCUCAUGGCUUGUUCCAGCCCCUUUCACCCCAG